rnacentral:rRNA from 1 species
UACGUAGGGGGCAAGCGUUGUCCGGAAUCAUUGGGCGUAAAGCGCGCGUAGGCGGCCCGGUAAGUCCGCUCUGAAAGUCCAGGGCUUAACCCUGGAAAGCGGGUGGAUACUGCCGGGCUUGAAUCCGGAAGAGGCGAGUGGAAUUCCUGGUGUAGCGGUGAAAUGCGCAGAUAUCAGGAAGAACACCAAUGGCGAAGGCGGCUCACUGGCCCGAUACUGACGCUGAGGCACGAAAGCGUGGGGAGCAAACAGG